rnacentral:rRNA from 1 species
GGUCGACGAUUCCUACGGGAGGCAGCAGUGAGGAAUAUUGGGCAAUGCCCGCAAGGGUGACCCAGCAACGCCGUGUGGAGGAUGAAGGCCGUAAGGUUGUAAACUCCUGUGAGAAGGGAUGAAUGGUAUGAUUUCGUAAGGGAUUAUACUUGACCGUACCUUCAGAGGAAGCCCCGGCU